rnacentral:lncRNA from 1 species
GGCUCACCUGGCUGUCACCGCCGUCACGUCUGCCAUUGGUACGGUCCUGAAGCUCAGCACUGCAAUCAAUAUCCUCAAUCACAAUAAUGGACCUAUCAGCAGUGGACAACAGCCAUUGUUCUAAGCGUCGAGUUAUUCCGAACACUGGUAAGCUCCAAAUCAUAAAUAUUAAACUUCAAAUAAUCGGCCAUGGCCGCCACCAAGCUCGAUUUCCCUGUUCCUGGUGGCCCAUAAAGAAGGUACCCUCUUUUCCAAGCCUUCCCAAUUCUCUUAUAAAAUUCCCUUCUCCUCACAAACCUAUCCAAAUCAUCCAUCAAUUCCUUCUUCUUCUUCAAAUCCAUAGCCAAAUUCCCAAAGCUACAACUAUUCUGCAAAACAAUCGAAUCCUCAUUCGCAUGUCUUAUCAUUAGCGCAUAAAGCUUCACCACUCUGUUUUCUUCCUCUAUCGCUUUUGCUCUUUCCAUGAUGAACGGAAGGUAAAUCUUCAUUACCGAGUCUUUAUUCUUCUUGUUGAAGCUCAUUUGGUAAUGCCGUUUUUCAAAUGUUUCCGUUGUUUGAGCAGGAAUAUCAGAAUCGAAAUUCAUGAUCUGUUUUUCUGUAGAAAUCAUUUCCCAGGCGAUUUCGAUCCCUUCGAAUUCUUCAAUUAGUAAUUCGCCUUUGUUGAUUUUGAACGUUACAUUGGUUUCACCUGGAGCCUUGAAAGCCUUGAGAUUCUUAAGAGAUCGGGAGAUUUUUGUAGAGAGGUACGUUUCGGAUGCUGUGUAAAGCUCGUUAAUGGCGAUUCCGUUGUUCUCUUCGAUAAUGAUAAGGAUUUGAGACGAGAUUGAACUGAAAAUGGGAGUUGAAUUUGAAGGAGAUUUGGUCACGGAGUUUUUGGGGGAUGAUACGGGAGAUGAUUGAUUGGGUUUCGGAGAUCAAUGUCCGAACCACCAUUGUAGAAGCGGCGAAGGAAGUGUAAACUGUGAAAACAGAGGAUGUUGAUGGCAUUUUAGUUAGAAACG